UAAGAACAUUUGACUUGGAAAAUCCUCAUUUACUAUGUUAUUUUAAAUUCUUAUUGAAACUUUCAACAUUAUCAGUCGUUACUAAUCAUCUUCAAUUAUUUAUUGCAUUAUUUCACAUCAUUUACUUUUUCAUUGAUCAUUCAAACAUUCAACCGAUUAAUCUAAUGCAAUGCAAAAGUAAUCUUCCCCAAACAGAAAUCCAGAGACCUUCCAUGAUCACAAGAACUCUCUUCAGUCUUCAACAUACAGGAAGAAGAAUAUUACCAUCCAAAUCUCACCAGAAUGAGCUUCCCUACAGGCUAAACUUACCUUACCGAUGAAAUGAAAAUCUCUUCCAUUACCGCCGAUCAGAGCCACGGCUACAAUAGUUCCGAUCAACAAGUUGCAAAGGAGAUCGAUUCUGAUGGAGAUGAAUCCAUGCGGUUAUCUUUAGAUUCUGAGAGCCGCUGGAGUCUUCUGAACUCAUUCCCUGCUUUCUUUCUGUCCUUGCUGAAUCUUGAGAGCGAAGAUUCGAAGCUGACUCCAGAUGGAGAGUUCGAUUUCGAUUGGUUUCAGUCUAAUUUUCCGAGUCCGUCAUUCCGGAGCGGUUACGAUUUCGAAGUGAAAUUAACAGGAUUUGUAGCAAUCGAAGAAGCUGAUCGCGACGGACCGUUGUUCUGGCCGCUCGAACAUGAAACUGAAUGGAAAUCGAUGGAAGAUUGGGACUGGUUUGCGAUUUCACCGCGGAAGAAGGAUUUGAAAUCUUCUGCUCUGACUCUGAACUCGACCGGAUUGCGAUUUCACGAACAGAAGAUAACUCUGAAUCAAGCGCCGAAGAGGAGGCUCGCGUUCAACUCGAGAUCGGUGGUGUCGGAGAUGAUGGAGUUGAUGCAUAGGCGUGAUACGAAAGCUAGUGUUCCGAGGAUCGGUGCUGUUCCUUCGAGAUUCAAUAAGGGAACGAGGAAUCCUGCCGGAAAACGUUCUGAUGAGAAAUUAAUCGCAGUGGAUAGAGAUUUUGUGGAGGACUUGGCGGCGCGUGAAGAAGUUCCGAUCGAAACGUUGUUAGGGCUUCAUGAAUUCGAUGGCCGCGAGGGAUUCAGUUCAGAGUUCGAUGACGUUGUGUUAUCACUCGAUGCAGAUAAAACCUUUAAUUCGCUUGCCAUGGUAUAAACUAUUGAAAGAAUAUAUAUGUGGUUAUUUUUCCUUUUAUUAUAAGGAUAAUAAUAUUGUAUAGUUGGUUAGGAUUUCUGUAAUUUCUCAUCCUCUCUCAUUGCUACACGUGGCAUGUAUUUUUCUAUUUAGGUUUGGCCCUUGGCCUUCUCUUUGUAUGUGAAAAAUAUUGCAUUCUGUCAAUGAAUUAAUUCCCUUUAUGGUAUCAAAGCCAACGACUCUUAAGUUUCUUCUUUCAUGGCUUCAGACGAUGGUCCAUCGUCUUCUUUUGAACAAAGUGUUACUCCGUUGAGCUCUCUGUCUACACUUAUGGCUACGAUGGUGGAAAUUUCCACUCGUUCUCUUCCAGUGGAGUCUAUCACGGUUACUAUUUCGAUUCAUAAGCUACGAUUACCAGAUGUUUGACCUCCUCUGGUUCGACCUCUUUCUUCAUAAACUUAUCCACCAGUUUACCCUACCUAUGUUUAGGCCUUCAGUGUUUGUUCCGACUACCCUCUACCCUAAUAAUAUAGGGUACUCUCCUAAUCAUAAAUUUUAUCCUCCAGGGUAUCAGACUUUUACACCUCCACCUAAUUUUCCAAACAUCCCACAUCUAUCCUCAGCGGCUUCACCUUACUUUCAACCCAAUCCUUACCCUACCUUGUCUUAGCCUUUAACUGUCAAAAUUAAUGAUAAUAACUUCCUUCUUUGGAAGAAUCAACUGUUCAACGCAGUUUUCGCUAAUGGCCUUAAAGGAAUUUUCUAUGGCAUGGUGACUACUCUACCUAAGUUCUUGGACCCGCAAUAGGUGCAGCUAAAUCCUGAUUUUCUAGUAUGGGAAAGGUAUAAUCGUUUUAUUAUGUAUUGGAUUUAUUUAUCAUUGUUUGAAGAAAAAAGGGUGAAAUUAUGAAUUUGGAAACUGCUAAUGCUAUUUGGGAGUCUUUAAAAUGUACAUAGAUAAUAGCCUUAAAAUCUCAGUUGCAACAUAUUAAAAAGGAUCGUCUAUUUGUGAGUCAAUAUUUAGCUCAAAUUAAAACAGUGGCUGAUAAGUUCUCUGCUAUUGGAGAACCUAUGUCGUAGCGGGAUCAUCCUAGCUCAUAUCAUAGAUGGUCUAGGAAGUGAGUACAACGCCUUUAUUACCACUAUUUAAAACAAAUCAGAUAGACCUUCUCUUGAGGAUGUUAGAAGUUUGCUUAUUGCUUAUGAGAAUAGAUUGGAAAAAUAGAAUGUUGUUGAACAAUUAAAUGUUACUCAAGCUAAUUUUGUUAAUCUUUCCUUUCAACGCAACAAUAGGCAUUCUUCUCCUAAGCCAUUUAACUCUUCUUCCCGACCCUCUUCCACCCCUAUUUCAAACCCAAUUCAGUCAGCUCCAUCUUCAAAUGUCUUUGGCAAAACUCAAUCACAAUUGAAAUGGCCCUCCAAACCAAAGACAUAGUGUCAAAUUUGUCAAAAACCUAGUCAUUCUGCCUUUACAAGUUAUCGACACCCCAACCUUAAUUUUCAACCUCCUUCAUUCCAACCUCAAGCACAUAUGAUCACUGUCCAACCUUUCUCUUCCUCUUCCUCACCCGAUUCCGCUUCCUUCUCUGAGUAUCAACAUCCUGAUGAGGGGUGGUUUAUGGACUCCGGUGCUACCCAUCACUUAACUCCGGAUUCUUCUUCCUUAUGCAACCAUCUUCCUUAUCAUGGUGGUGAGCAAGUUAUGGUGGGAAAUGUUUUUGGCACCGUUACCGAGGAUCGAACCCGGGUCACCCGCGUGAUAGGCGAGAAUACUUACCACUAUACUACAAUUUAAGUGGUGGUGUCAUCCCCGUGCUGUGUUCGUGUGGAGUCCGUUCGUGGGCAGAAGACAGUGAUUUGGUGGACGAUUUGCUUGGACUUUCCUUGCGAGAGCGAAAGGAGCAGUCCUUGGUGAGAGCGAUAUUUUGGUGAAGAAAAGUUCUUCAACUGGUACGUUUCUUGUUCUCUUAUUGUUUAAUUGUUCAAAACAUGCCGGUAAUUUGUUGUGAAAUGCAUAUCUAUUCUGUUAGAAUGUAAAUGCGGUAAUUCUGUCACAAUGAGUUUCGAACGAUCCGCUUUCGCUCAGAGGUACUCUUGUAUAAGAGUUCCUUCAGUGACAAGAUCAACAGCUGGUAUUUUUAAACCAAAAGCUUGGCAUGUCCAUUCCUCUCUUCCUUCUAACCUUCUUAAUGAACCAUCUUCCUUUAUGUCUGCUAUUAAAUAUGUUGAACGGAGAGAUUUAAAUAUGUUGAACGGAGAGAAGUGAUGCAGCAUGAGUAUAAUGCCUUGAUGAAUAAUGAUACUUGAGUGCUUGUUCCUAAUUCUCCGGAUUUCAAGGUUAUUAGCUAUAAAUGAGUAUAGAAGUUAAAGUUAAAACCUAAUGGUGAUAUAGAAAGGUAUAAAGCUAGGCUUGUAGCUUGUGGUUAUGAUCAAGCUUAUGGUAUUGACUAUUUUGAAACUUUUUUUUCCGUUGUAAAACUGGGUACAAUUUUUCUUGUAUUAAGUCUUACUGUUCAAUUUAAUUGGUAUAUUCAUCAACUAGAUGUACACAAUGCUUUCUUAAAUGGUGACCUUCAUGAGGAUGUUUAUAUGCUUCAACCUCCAAGCUUUAUUGACUAAGAUAAGCCUACACAUGUGUGUAAGUUACAAAAGGCCUUGUAUGGUUUGAAGCAAAGCUCUUAUGAGUGGUUCAUAAAACUAAGCACUUGUUUGUUGAGCUAGAACUUUUCUGCAUCAAAAUCUGAUGUGGUUCAUAAAACUAAAUACUUAUUUGUUGAGCUGGAACUUUUUUGCAUCAAAAUCAGGUUCUUCUCUUUUCAUCUUUCGACAGCAAGAUGUUUUAGUCAUAAUUUUGGUUUAUAUUGAUGAUAUACUCGUGGUUGGAAAUAAUUUGAAGCUCAUCGGUCAGUUUAUAUCUUCUCUUAAUUCCCUUUUUGCUCUUAAGGAUCUUGGGAAUGUCUCAUAUUUUUUAGGUAUUGAGGUAACAAUAAGUGUUGAUUCUAUUUUUUUUUUUUUAAUCUCAAAGCAAUUUAUUUUCGAGAUCUUCUUGGCAAGCGGAGAUGGCUUGGUAAAGCCCCUAAAUACACCUAUGGUUGCUGGUUCUUCAUUAUCCUUGAAUGAUAGUCCAUUGUUUCAUGAUCCAUCUUUGUAUAGAUGUAUAGUUGGUACUCUUCAAUAUUGUACCUUAACAACGCUUGAUUUAUGUUUUUUCUAUUAAUAAAGUUUGUCAGUUCUUGCAUGCUCCCACGGUUAAACAUUGGACUACUGUUAAGCGUAUUUUACGUUACUUACAGACUUCUAGCUCUCUUGGUUUAGUUUUCACUAGGUCUCGAGAUUUGUUAUUAAUAUGUUACACAGUGCUGAUUGAGCGAAUUGUCCUGAUGACAGAAGGAGUACUAAUGAUUAUUGCCUUUCUCUUGGUUCUAAUUUAAUUUCAUGGUCUUCUACUAAGCAGAAAGUUGUUUCUCAAUCGAAUGCAUAGUUCGAGUACAGAGCAAACCCACUGUUCCAUCAUCGUUUGAAGAAUAUAGAAAUUGAUCAUCAUUUUAUACGUGAUCGUGUGGUGUGUCGUCAACUUCUUGUUCGUUUUGUCCCUUCGGAGGACCAAUUAGCUAAUAUCAUGACCAAACCUCUUCCUACCACCCGAUUUUGUUGUCUCAAGAACAAGCUCUCUGUUCAGCAUCACCCAGUUUUGCUUGCAGAGGAUGAAAGAAUAUAUCUACAGUUAUUUUUCCUUUGAUUAUAAGGAUAAUAAUAUUGUAUACUUUGUUAAGAUUUCUAUUAUUUCUCAUCUUCUCUCAUUGCUACAUGUGACAUGUAUUUUUCUAUUUAGGUUUGGCCCUCUGCCUUCUCUUUGUAUGUGAGAAAUAUUGCAUUUUGUCAAUGAAUUAAUUCCCUUUAACUA